AGACUUUUUACAAUCUAGAACCCAGAGAUCAGGUCUUUUAGAAAAGAUGCUAAUGGAAGACUGCCCUUGAACUCCAUUGGAAGGUACCAUACCAAGUCCUCCCGUACAGCAAAACUUCAGAGUUGGUCAGAAAUGGUGGCAUAUGCCUGUAAUCCCAGCUACUGGAGGUGGGAGCGCUGAGCCCAGGAGUCUGAAGCUGGCCUGGGCAACACAGAAAGACCCUGUCUCUUGAAAAAAAUCAAAAACUUCAGGACCUCAUGUCUUGGAUCAACAUCUUUCAACUCAAGAGGGUUGUCUUAGUUUGUUCUCUGUUGAAGAACUGAAUACCUGAGACUUGGUAAUUUAUAGAGAAAAGAAAUGUAUUUAUUACAGCUCUGGAGAAGCUGUGAAGUCCAAGGGCAUGGUGCUGGCAUCUUGUGAAGGCCUUCUUGCUGCAUCAAAACAUGGUAGAGGACAUCACACCCUGAGAGGGAAAGAUUAUGUCAACUCAGGGGUCUCUACUGACCAGGCUAGAGUACAGUGACAUGAUCCCAGCUCACUGCUGUAUCAAACUCCUGGGCUCAUUCAAUCCUCUCACCUCAGCCUCUCAAGUAGCUGGGACUACAGGCACGUGCUACCACACCUGAGUUACCUGUUCCGAGUGAAGUUAGCUUCAGUAUCAUGAGAAACUCUGGAGAGACUUGAAGCCUGCUGCCAAUAGCCAUGUAGCAUGCCAUCUUGGAAGUGCAUCCUCCAGCCCUAGUCAAGCCUAAACCCUGACCAACAGCCUGACAGCCACCCCAUGAGAAAACUUGAGCCAGAACCGCCCUUCUGUUCAUCAGCAAACAUUUACUAAACUCUGGCUACGUGCUAGACAGUGUUUCAGGUUCUAGGAACACAGCAGGGACAACUCAAAGAAGGUGCCUGCUUUCAUGGCAAUAGCAUUUUAAUAGAGUAAACUAAUAAACAGAUAAAAGCAAA